rnacentral:lncRNA from 1 species
AGAGAGAUCGAGUAAAUUUUAUAUUAUUUUCCGUUCGAUAUUUUCGUUGGAACCGGUCGUUAAAAAGUAUCAAUAGUUAUUUUGAAAUUAUUAGAGAAAAAGGGUAGAGAUAUAAAAAAGUUUUUCUAAUGUUACAACUAAAUAUUAUAGUAUAGUGGAAACAAACUGAACCUUGCAUUAUGUGAAAGAAAGAAUAGGGAGGAGCUCUCUAGCGGAAGAACAAAGUCUAUUGCGGAAGAACCAUGUGAACGAUAACACUGGAGGUCAAUGGACGAGAAUCUGAUCAGGACAUUUAUCUCAGUCUGGAUAAAUUGCAGACAUUAAAGGCAUGUUAGGUCAGGAUUUUUAAUCUAGUCUAAAUGCAUCUUUAAUCUGUAAACUUUCACAUUUUAUUAUUAUUAUUAUUAUUUGUUUAUUUAUUAACUAUCGCCAUCAGUUCGAAAUAGGAAGUUGAUAUUCACUCAAAUUCGCAAAAAAUUGAUUUUCAUUCGUGUCAAUUUAUAAUUUAAUAAUGUAUUUUCAUGCAUACUUGUAAAUUACUUCAAAGAAAUUGUUAAAAAUUAUUUUGAGAUGUUUAAUUUUUACACUUUUAUUUUAUUGUUAUAAAUUAUUACGCGUAUUGCUGAUGAAGUUAAUUCGAAGAUUUACGGUUGAAAAUAAAGACGAAGUCAUUAAAACUUUUAUUAUUUUUUUAAUUAUUCAGAUAAUAAGUGUAGAAAGUUAUAACGAGAACUGCUCCUUAGCUUUCCAUCUUUCUUACUCGUUAAUCCUGCUAGGCAGGGAAACGUUCGUAAAGGGUUGGAUUAAGAUAUUAAUCUUUAUCUCUGUUACAUUUUUUAUUUAACAACAAAAAAAAGAAAGAAAAAAUAACGCAUUGUACAUUAUAAGUAGUUUAUAUGGGAAGUAAAGUUUAAUAGAUCAAUUUAUAUGAGGAACUAAUGUUGCUAUUUCAGAGCUAUUGCUAUACUGUAGUUUGUAUGGUAGUGAGGACACGCCGUGGUAUGUUAUUGUGGAGAAAACGUUGAUCACCUGUAGGGUAAACCAGACAGAUGUUGUCAUAGAAACCAUGUGCAGGUGUUUUCGAGUUGAUCAGACGUGACGUCAUUUUUGUCGCAAAUGUUGUCUGACAUCUAUGAGAUUCGGUGAAAGAAUCAAAGGUCGAUUAGCUUUCUGGUUGACUAAAAACUUUUCUCUUUUAUCGAGAAAAUUAGUAAGGAAUAAUUCAAGAAAUUUUAUUUUAAACAUAUCCAGUUCUGUUUUAAAAAUUUCUAACACUCGAAAUAUAAACAUUUCUGGGUUUCUGCAAACUAUUAAACAUUUUUGUCGAAAACUAUUUUCUUUGCUAUAUAAUUAAAUCAAACUAAGACUCCACAAAUUGCAAAAGACUGGAGUCCGCAAGUCGUUCAGCUAUCCAGACAUAGAGCAACUAUUUGCGCAGGAAGAGAUGUGGAAACAAACAGAGUAAUUAGCUAGUGCCUAGAUAAAAAGGAUAGUUACCAAACUUCGCCCUCUCUCCUGUAUUUCCCUGGCGACUGGCAAUAAUACAAGCAUCAAUGACGUAGUUGCUUCUGUAUUCUCUUUGAUUCUAUUUAAAGAAAUACUUUUAAUGAAGAAGAGCGAUACACUUUAAACGAUUUUUCUUAUAGUUUAACAGGUUCUGUAUUUUUAAACAAAAUUUAAAAAAAGAAAAAACAAAUCUGAUGAGAUUCUUCUAAAGACUACCAUCCAAAUAGAAGUUUUUUAAAUAUUCGAUAACUAAAAUUUCCAUUAAAAACCAUGUAUAUAUAUGGUAUAUUUUUAGAUUUAUUAACAAAGUAGCAGGAAGCAUCCCGUUUGGAAAUGACCACCUAUAGAAUUUAUAUAUAUAUAUAUAUUCUAUCUUUUUUUAUAGUGUGGUUGUUUUCAAAGAAUAGUUAUUCCUGAAAAAAGUUUAAUGGCCGGUUUUUCCUUUCAGAAAUCAUUCGACAUAUAAAACUCUAUACGUUCCACAAAAUCG